GACGAACGCUGGCGGCGUGCUUAACACAUGCAAGUCGAACGAAGAGCGAUGGAAGCUUGCUUCUAUCAAUCUUAGUGGCGAACGGGUGAGUAACGCGUAAUCAACCUGCCCUUCAGAGGGGGACAACAGUUGGAAACGACUGCUAAUACCGCAUACGAUCUAAUCUCGGCAUCGAGGAAAGAUGAAAGGUGGCCUCUAUUUAUAAGCUAUCACUGAAGGAGGGGAUUGCGUCUGAUUAGCUAGUUGGAGGGGUAACGGCCCACCAAGGCGAUGAUCAGUAGCCGGUCUGAGAGGAUGAACGGCCACAUUGGGACUGAGACACGGCCCAGACUCCUACGGGAGGCAGCAGUGGGGAAUCUUCCGCAAUGGACGAAAGUCUGACGGAGCAACGCCGCGUGAGUGAUGACGGCCUUCGGGUUGUAAAGCUCUGUUAAUCGGGACGAAAGGCCUUCUUGCGAACAGUAGAAGGAUGACG
rnacentral:rRNA from 1 species